rnacentral:rRNA from 1 species
UACGUAGGAGGCGAGCGUUGUCCGGAGUUACUGGGCGUAAAGCGCACGCAGGCGGUCAGAUCAGUCUGGAGUGACAGUCGUCGGCUUAACCGACGAAGUGUUCUGGAAACUGUCUGACUUGAGGGCUUCAGAGGGACACGGAAUUCCGGGUGGAAGUGGUGAAAUGCGUAGAUAUCCGGAGGAACACCAGUGGCGAAGGCGGGUCUCUGGACAGUUCC